rnacentral:miRNA from 1 species
CCGCCUGUUCUCGGGGUCUGUGAGCUCCUCGGCGUACUCGGAGAACAUCCGCCGAAAUUCUGGGUCCUGGAAGGCAGA